rnacentral:rRNA from 1 species
CCUACGGGAGGCAGCAGUGGGGAAUAUUGGACAAUGGGCGAAAGCCUGAUCCAGCAAUGCCGCGUGAGUGAUGAAGGCCUUCGGGUCGUAAAGCUCUUUUACCAGGGAUGAUAAUGACAGUACCUGGAGAAUAAGCUCCGGCUAACUCCGUGCCAGCAGCCGCGGUAAUACGGAGGGAGCUAGCGUUGUUCGGAAUUACUGGGCGUAAAGAGUACGUAGGCGGUUAUUCAAGUCAGAGGUGAAAGCCCGGGGCUCAACCCCGGAACUGCCUUUGAAACUAGAUAACUAGAGUCUUGGAGAGGUUAGUGGAAUUCCGAGUGUAGAGGUGAAAUUCGUAGAUAUUCGGAAGAACACCAGUGGCGAAGGCGACUAACUGGACAAGUACUGACGCUGAGGUACGAAAGCGUGGGGAGCAAACAGGAUUAGAUACCCUGGUAGUCCACGCCGUAAACGAUGAUAACUAGUUGUUCGGUCACUUGGUGACUGAGUGACGCAGCUAACGCAUUAAGUUAUCCGCCUGGGGAGUACGGUCGCAAGAUUAAAACUUAAAGGAAAUUGACGGCUGAGAGNGCGAGACGACACAGGGAGAG